UUACGAUAAUUUUUUGUGUGUUUAGGUGAAGCAAACGUGAUUGAUGCAUCUCUUUCCCCAUCUUCAAGAAUUUUAGCUUUGAAUAUCGUUGGUGAUAUAAUCCGAAAAGUUGGAAAGCUUGAAGCUGAGCUAGGUCAAUGUCGUCACGGGUAUAAUAGAGAUUUUGCGGAUUUAAGGAGGUCCAAACUCACCGGAAGAGGAAGGUUUUCCCCGUCUACUAAAUAAAUAAUAAGCAUCCCAACUCAUUUUUAACAAGAAAACUAAAAAGAAAUCAAUUCAAUAAUAAUAAUGGCUAUUUCCGCAUAGUUAUAAUUUUGUCUGUAUUGUUUAUAUAUAUUUUUUAAUACGUUUGUAUUCUUUUAUUGAGUGUUUUGCGGUUUUUCUCUUCUCUAAGGUUUUGAUUUCCCUUGAUACAAGGAUCAGACUGGCUAAAUAGGUAGGAAUAUUCCAUUACCAUAUACUUUUUUGCGAGGAACUUGGAAAUUUUCGCUUUAUCAUUUUGUUGAUCAACUUAACUUUUUUUUACGUAACCGCUCUUAAUUUAUUCGCAAUAAUUUAUCAAGUUCAACAUAUUUUUUAGGAUUAAUAUUAAGAUUUAUGUAGUUAAUAUCUCGAUUAAAUAACUAUCCAUUUUUUUUGUACAUAAUAGAAAUUAAAAAGAGUAAAUUUAAAUAUAUUCCAUUAUAAAUGCUUUACUUAGAUUAUAAUUAAUUCGAAAAUAAACGAUUUUUCUUUGUGAA